AGAGCUCUAGCUCUGGAGCGCGCCAUGGUCAAGGCCAAAGCCGAGGUUGGGAUGCCCGAUGCCUGUCGCGGGGAGACGGAGGAAGCAAAGUGCUGCUGCAUGGUGGAAAUACAGUAUUAUAUAAUGACAUGCUACUAUGCAUCUCUACCUAACUCCUCGUCUGGUGAUGCCAUAUUGAAAUCAGCCAUACUGAGAGUAUUUACACACUGGUGAAGUCAGUAAAUGCUACAAAUCAAGGCCUGAAUGUAACCUACAUGAGAAAGAGUUGCCUUGCUCACUGCCGUAUCCCAGUAUCCCAAGCACCUUGGAGAUGCUCUAUGAAUACUGAAUGAAUCUGAGAGGAAACUAGCCCAUGGGGGAAGGCUCUGGAAGCAAGCCCUCAUGGACCAAUGGAGAAAAAGGAAACUGAAUCUUGGGGAGAUUAAGCAACUCUUUCAAGGUCAACCAGUGAGUGGCAGAAUCAGGGUUUGAAGGAAACCUUUAUGAAUCUGAUGUCUGCCCCUUCUAAAUUAGGACUCUCAUCUAUCAGCCUGUGAGAAAAAAUACAGAAAGCAUCAUUCAGGCAACACAUGAACUCAAGACACUGA
rnacentral:antisense_RNA from 1 species